UGAGAUGGGUAAUUGUGUAAGUAUUGUUUUGCUGAGUAUCUGUGAAAUGUCACCUGGCUAUUGUGUUUUGAUAUUGGCCUGUUAUUGAAAGCAUAUUGAAGUUUCUUUAGAUAAUACUAAGUAUCCUCUGAUGGCUAUCUGUACGAUGCUAAGUUCUUAGUUUAUUCUUGUUUUCUUCACUUGGAAACAUUUUGUAUAUCUUUAAGAUUACCUUCUGAGUAUUUUUCAUGGACGAUGGACUUGACCUGUUGUUGACGCCUACAGCUUACAACAUUAUGCAAUUUAUUUUCAACAAUUCACAACAUGGUAGUAUUUAAAGGAAACGUGGAACUGCCUUUUGUCUUUGCCUUUUAUGCUAGCAGGCAACAUGUUAGUUGUAUGGUGUAUGUGUUGAGUGACACCAGAACAGAGGUAUAGGAGAAGUUUUCAUCUAUGAGCUUCCGGCUCGUUUCGUCUUCACUAUCUACGAUCUUCAUUUUGUCUUCGGUUUCGGAAAGGAGGAUAUGCCACCAUUUUUGCUGUUCAUAAAUAGAAACGACACCUAAAGGUAUUUAGUCCUAAUACUUAUUCAAAUUUCAUUUGAUUGUGUGGAAUGCGUUUUAAUUUAGCGUUUGAUUGGUUUCAAUUAGCGUUGCUUCGAUUUUUUUUAUGGGAAUGAGCGUGUUGGCUUCGUGCUCCAGCAUAAGUCUUUUUUUGCCUGUUCACUCAUCUAAUGUUAAUUGUAAUAUAUUCUUGGUUUAUUUGAGGCUGAAUAAUUAGGGUUUUGUUAGAAUCUUUGAAUUUUGAAAACAGAUUUAGAGGAUGUUUUUAGAUUUUUCAUAUGGAUGUGACCACGCCGCGGAAAUUUGCCUUC
rnacentral:lncRNA from 1 species